CAAAAAAAUAAAGAAAGAAGACAACAACAAAAAAGAGGCAGCAGCGACGUCAGUUUUACAUACAAAAGUCUCCCGCUCGUGUAGGUGUAUGAGUAAUGUGAGUGUGUAAGAUGGCAGGGCGAAAAAGCAAAACAGACAAAAGCAACCAGACCAAAGAGGAGACAGACAAAAAGCAACAAAACACCGCCGCAGCAGCGAAGCUCAGAGCUGCAAAAAACCGAAAAACAACAGAGAAGAAAAGCACGGAAAGAAGAAGAAGAAGGAGGAGAAAAAAGCAACGGGCAGCCAGCCCAAAAGAAAGGCAACGAUAAACAAGCUACCUCUCUUUCGUUCGGGGACUGUCGCUCUCGCUCCAACUUGGAGCCAACGAAAAAGAGUUUGUUGGAGGGGGGAGAACGGGGGAGCAUUAGAAGCAGCGAAAAGCGAAACAAAAGAGCAGCGAAGAGUGCAGAGCAAAAUGCAGGUCCGCAAAACGGAGAGCAGAGAAAUCCACGAUGACCGAAGUCGAGUGGCAGUGAAGGUGUCCAAAGGAGGGUGAGUGGGGCAGGGGGCCAAAGAGAGUGGGAGAGGUAGGCAGGGACCCGGAGUCCGAAGCCCGGCUGUCUAAACCGGAGACCCAGCAAAACUACAACAACUACGACGACCAGGGCAAACAACAACUGCAGCACGAACACGUAACAAAGUGACGAAGUAACCGACCGACAGUGGGGCGAUGGAGGAGGCACAGUGGGACCGACAGUAAUGCACGUUCGGCAGUAAUGUCACAUCUGGCUAGGACUUGGAGAUGAAGCUUGCUAUAAUUUUGCAAAGUAAACUUUUAGCGAUAAUCUAGGUUCGGGAACUCCAAACUAUAAGAACCCCAUGUAGGACCGACAAAGCACGAGAAGCCAAAAGUGCACGGAUCCAGGUCCAGGUUCCAAAUAAACAGAGAUUGUAAACUCCUGAAAAUUGAGUUGAUUUUUGCAAAAAGCGGCUGCACUGAUGGUUGGGUUGCUCGGUCGUUUGGUCGGUUCGUCGUUUGGCCGUUUUGGGUGCUGUGCGUGUGUUUGUGCGAGUGUACGUGCAAUGAACCCGCAACUACAACUGCACACAAUUGCAUCACGCACACUCGCACGACCGCCCACACACGCACACACCAAAGGCACUGGUAGUGGUAGCGCUUCGUAGGCGCAGCGUUCAUUUACUCAGUGCCCCAGACCCCGAUGGCGAGCAGCGACCCACAGCACACCUCCCCCACCAACACCCUACCAUCUCUCACUACCCCACCUACCACCUACCUCCCACCUCCCUGCCGCCACCCACUAGAUAUCUACAUUCAGCGGGCGAGAACGAGACUGCAAAACAAACAAGAUUCGGCAUAAAUCAGAGGUGGUCAACUAUUUACAUAGUGGGGUGUUUGCGUUCGGGAGCGGAUUUGUAUUACUUAAAAUAAGCCAAAGAGCGGCCAUUACAACGUUUCCAAAUUUAACAAAAAAGAUCGGGAGAAAGUUCGCAUUUAGUGUUUACGAUGCUUUUUUGGAUCAUUGCUUAAAAGUUGAUUAAGAGUUACUGACCUUUCGCAAAUUCAAUUCAUACAAAUAAUUUAUAUUUGGACAAAUAUGUAUAAAUUCAUU